GGAUUUUGGGCGUAAGGGCUCGCAGGCGGUUUUUAAGUUCUGAGGUGAAAGCCCCCGGCUUAACCGGGGAGGGUCAUUGGAAACUGGGGAACUUGAGUGCAGAAGAGGAGAGUGGAAUUCCACGUGUAGCGGUGAAAUGCGUAGAGAUGUGGAGGAACACCAGUGGCGAAGGCGACUCUCUGGUCUGUAACUGACGCUGAGGAGCGAAAGCGUGGGGAGCGAACAGGAUUAGAUACCCUGGUAGUCCACGCCGUAAACGAUGAGUGCUAAGUGUUAGGGGGUUUCCGCCCCUUAGUGCUGCAGCUAACGCAUUAAGCACUCCGCCUGGGGAGUACGGUCGCAAGACUGAAACUCAAAGGAAUUGACGGGGGCCCGCACAAGCGGUGGAGCAUGUGGUUUAAUUCGAAGCAACGCGAAGAACCUUACCAGGUCUUGACAUCCUCUGACACUCCUAGAGAUAGGACGUCCCCUUCGGGGGCAGAGUGACAGGUGGUGCAUGGUUGUCGUCAGCUCGUGUCGUGAGAUGUUGGGUUAAGUCCCGCAACGAGCGCAACCCUUGAUCUUAGUUGCCAGCAUUCAGUUGGGCACUCUAAGGUGACUGCCGGUGACAAACCGGAGGAAGGUGGGGAUGACGUCAAAUCAUCAUGCCCCUUAUGACCUGGGCUACACACGUGCUACAAUGGACAG
rnacentral:rRNA from 1 species